rnacentral:rRNA from 1 species
UACAGAGGGUGCAAGCGUUAUUCGGAAUUACUGGGCGUAAAGCGCAUGUAGGUGGGGUAUCAAGUCAGGUGUGAAAUCCCGGAGCUUAACUUCGGAAUUGCGCUUGAAACUGAUAUUCUUGAGUAUGAGAGAGGAUAGUAGAAUUCCUGGUGUAGAGGUGAAAUUCGUAGAUAUCAGGAGGAAUACCAGAGGCGAAGGCGGCUAUCUGGCUCAUAACUGACACUCAGAUGCGAGAGCGUGGGUAG